AGUGAACGCUGGCGGUAGGCCUAACACAUGCAAGUCGAACGGCAGCACAGUAAGAGCUUGCUCUUACGGGUGGCGAGUGGCGGACGGGUGAGGAAUACAUCGGAAUCUACUUUUUCGUGGGGGAUAACGUAGGGAAACUUACGCUAAUACCGCAUACGACCUACGGGUGAAAGCAGGGGAUCUUCGGACCUUGCGCGAUUGAAUGAGCCGAUGUCGGAUUAGCUAGUUGGCGGGGUAAAGGCCCACCAAGGCGACGAUCCGUAGCUGGUCUGAGAGGAUGAUCAGGCCCCAUUGAACCUGAACCAGGUCCUGGGCUCCGCGGGAGGCAGCAGUGGGGAAUUUUGGAAAAUAGGGGGCAGUCUGGUUCCAGCAUCCCCAGCGGGGGAAGGAAGACGUCGGGUUUUUAAGCCCCUUUUUUUGGGAAGAAAAGGCUGAGGGUUAAAACCCGGCGUUUUGAAGGUACCCCAAAAAUAAGGCACGGGUUAAUUGGUG
rnacentral:rRNA from 1 species